rnacentral:rRNA from 1 species
UCAACCUGAGAGUUUGAUUCUGGCUCAGAACGAACGCUGGCGGCAGGCUUAACACAUGCAAGUCGAACGCCCCGCAAGGGGAGUGGCAGACGGGUGAGUAACGCGUGGGAAUGUGCCCCGAGGUACGGAACAACAGCGGGAAACUGCUGCUAAUACCGUAUGUGACCGAGAGGUGAAAGAUUUAUCGCCUCGGGAUCAGCCCGCGUUGGAUUAGCUAGUUGGCGGUGUAAUGGACCACCAAGGCGACGAUCCAUAGCUGGUCUGAGAGGACGACCAGCCACACUGGGACUGAGACACGGCCCAGACUCCUACGGGAGGCAGCAGUGGGGAAUCUUGGACAAUGGGCGCAAGCCUGAUCCAGCCAUGCCGCGUGGAUGAUGAAGGCCUUAGGGUUGUAAAAUCCUUUCAGCGGGGACGAUAGUGACGGUACCCGCAGAAGAAGCCCCGGCUAACUUCGUGCCAGCAGCCGCGGUAAUACGAAGGGGGCUAGCGUUGUUCGGAUUUACUGGGCGUAAAGCGAGUGUAGGCGGGGCUGUAAGUUGGGGGUGAAAUCCCUCGGCUCUACCGAGGAUCCGCGUCCGAUACUGUCGAACUUGAGUGCAGGAGAGGAGAGCGGAAUUCCCAGUGUAGCGGUGAAAUGCGUAGAUAUUGGGAGGAACACCGGUGGCGAAGGCGGCUCUC